rnacentral:rRNA from 1 species
GACGAACGCUGGCGGCGUGCUUAACACAUGCAAGUCGAACGGAAAGGCCCUGCUUUUGUGGGGUUCUCGAGUGGCGAACGGGGGAGUAACACGUGAGUAACCUGCCCUUGACUUUGGGAUAACUUCAGGAAACUGGGGCUAAUACCGGAUAGGAGCUCCUGCUGCAUGGUGGGGGUUGGAAAGUUUCGGCGGUUGGGGAUGGACUCGCGGCUUAUCAGCUUGUUGGUGGGGUAGUGGCUUACCAAGGCUUUGACGGGUAGCCGGCCUGAGAGGGUGACCGGCGACCUUGGGACUGAGAUACGGCCCAGACUGCUACGGGAGGCAGCAGUGGGGAAUAUUGCACAAUGGGCGGAAGCCUGAUGCAGCAGCGCCGCGUGCGGGAUGACGGCCUUCGGGUUGUAAACCGCUUUCGCCUGUGACGAAGCGUGAGUGACGGUAAUGGGUAAAGAAGCACCGGCUAACUACGUG